CAGGCCUAACACAUGCAAGUCGAGCGGACAGAUGGGAGCUUGCUCCCUGAUGUUAGCGGCGGACGGGUGAGUAACACGUGGGUAACCUGCCUGUAAGACUGGGAUAACUCCGGGAAACCGGGGCUAAUACCGGAUGGUUGUUUGAACCGCAUGGUUCAGACAUAAAAGGUGGCUUCGGCUACCACUUACAGAUGGACCCGCGGCGCAUUAGCUAGUUGGUGAGGUAACGGCUCACCAAGGCGACGAUGCGUAGCCGACCUGAGAGGGUGAUCGGCCACACUGGGACUGAGACACGGCCCAGACUCCUACGGGAGGCAGCAGUAGGGAAUCUUCCGCAAUGGACGAAAGUCUGACGGAGCAACGCCGCGUGAGUGAUGAAGGUUUUCGGAUCGUAAAGCUCUGUUGUUAGGGAAGAACAAGUGCCGUUCAAAUAGGGCGGCACCUUGACGGUACCUAACCAGAAAGCCACGGCUAACUACGUGCCAGCAGCCGCGGUAAUACGUAGGUGGCAAGCGUUGUCCGGAAUUAUUGGGCGUAAAGGGCUCGCAGGCGGUUUCUUAAGUCUGAUGUGAAAGCCCCCGGCUCAACCGGGGAGGGUCAUUGGAAACUGGGGAACUUGAGUGCAGAAGAGGAGAGUGGAAUUCCACGUGUAGCGGUGAAAUGCGUAGAGAUGUGGAGGAACACCAGUGGCGAAGGCGACUCUCUGGUCUGUAACUGACGCUGAGGAGCGAAAGCGUGGGGAGCGAACAGGAUUAGAUACCCUGGUAGUCCACGCCGUAAACGAUGAGUGCUAAGUGUUAGGGGGUUUCCGCCCCUUAGUGCUGCAGCUAACGCAUUAAGCACUCCGCCUGGGGAGUACGGUCGCAAGACUGAAACUCAAAGGAAUUGACGGGGGCCCGCACAAGCGGUGGAGCAUGUGGUUUAAUUCGAAGCAACGCGAAGAACCUUACCAGGUCUUGACAUCCUCUGACAAUCCUAGAGAUAGGACGUCCCCUUCGGGGGCAGAGUGACAGGUGGUGCAUGGUUGUCGUCAGCUCGUGUCGUGAGAUGUUGGGUUAAGUCCCGCAACGAGCGCAACCCUUGAUCUUAGUUGCCAGCAUUCAGUUGGGCACUCUAAGGUGACUGCCGGUGACAAACCGGAGGAAGGUGGGGAUGACGUCAAAUCAUCAUGCCCCUUAUGACCUGGGCUACACACGUGCUACAAUGGACAGAACAAAGGGCAGCGAAACCGCGAGGUUAAGCCAAUCCCACAAAUCUGUUCUCAGUUCGGAUCGCAGUCUACAACUCGACUGCGUGAAGCUGGAAUCGCUAGUAAUCGCGGAUCAGCAUGCCGCGGUGAAUACGUUCCAGGGCCUUGUACACACCGCCC
rnacentral:rRNA from 1 species